rnacentral:rRNA from 2 species
GUCAGGCGGGGCCACCCGCCGAGUUUAAGCAUAUAAAUAAGCGGAGGAGAAGAAACUUACGAGGAUUCCCCUAGUAACGGCGAGCGAACCGGGAUCAGCCCAGCUUGAGAAUCGGGCGGCCGCGCCGUCCGAAUUGUAGUCUGGAGAAGCGUCCUCAGCGACGGACCGGGCCCAAGUCCCCUGGAAAGGG